rnacentral:misc_RNA from 1 species
GAAAUGCGAUAAGUAAUGUGAAUUGCAGAAUUCAGUGAAUCAUCGAAUCUUUGAACACACCUUGCGCUCCUUGGUAUUCCUUGGAGCAUGCCUGUUUGAGUAUCAUGAAAUCUUCAAAGUAAAUCUUUUGUUAACUCAAUUGGUUUCUACUUUGGUAUUGGAGGUCUUUGCAGCUUCACACCUGCUCCUCUUUGUUCAUUAGCUGGAUCUCGGUGUUAUGCUUGGUUCCACUCGGCGUGAUAAGUUAUCUAUCGCUGAGGACACUGUAAAAGGUGGCCAAGGUAAAUGCAGAUGAACCGCUUCUAAUAGUCCAUUGACUUGGACAAUACUUUUAUGAUCUGAUCUCAAAUCAGGUAGGACUACCCGCUGAACUUAAGC